rnacentral:lncRNA from 1 species
CUCUUGAUCGAUCACGGAAGGACGAGGUGCUAUGGUCGACAUUCUUCUGAGUACAUCAUUAUUCUGUCUCUAUCAUGAAAUUGAUUAAGCUUCCAUAUCAAAUUGCCUUAAAACAGAUAUAUUUCCAUCAUUAGAUUGCUUUGAAACUGAUACAUCUUAACUUCCAUCAGCAGUUGAUAUUAUGUCUAGGGGAAAAGGGCAGUUGUCUGAAGAUUACAGUUUCAGAAUGCUGCUCUUUCUAUUAGUACAAAAGAGUGUCCAAAAAAAAAAGUUCAGAAAAGCGGGUCAGCCACUAGCCCCUCGGUACACAAUCCAGAUCAUAAAUAAGUAUUGUGCUCACAAUUUGACAAGCAUCAAUGAUAAGCUCUUACAUUGG